ACGUACGACCAUACGCAGUAGAAAACUCGGGAUCCCGUCCGCUCUCCCCUAGAUAAGCUACUGACGGCCAGAUUAGUAGUUGGGUCGGUGACGACCAGCGAAUCCCUGGUGUUGUACGUU
rnacentral:rRNA from 1 species